rnacentral:rRNA from 1 species
AUUGAACGCUGGCGGCAGGCCUAACACAUGCAAGUCGAGCGGCAGCGGGAAAGUAGCUUGCUACUUUUGCCGGCGAGCGGCGGACGGGUGUGUAACGCCUGGGUAAUUGCCUAGUCGAGGGGGAUUAUAGUUGCAAACUACUGCUAAUACUCCUUACGCCCUACGGGGGAAAGCUGGGGACCAUCGGCCCUAUCGCGAUUGGAUAUGCCCAGGUGGGAUUAGCUAGUUGGUGGGGUAAUGGCUAACCAAGGGGACGAUCCCCAGCUGGUCUGAGAGGAUGAGCAGCCACACUGGAACUGAGACACGGUCCAGACACCUACGGGAGGCAGCAGUGGGGAAUAUUGCACAAUGGGGGAAACCCUGAUGCAGCCAUGCCGCGUGUGUGAAGAAGGCCUUCGGGUUGUAAAGCACUUUCAGCGAGGAGGAAAGGUUGAUGCCUAAUACGUAUCAACUGUGACGUUACUCGCAGAAGAAGCACCGGCUAAAUCCGUGCCAGCCGCCGCUGUAACAC